UUCUGGACUUAGUUUUGUUUAGUCUUAACCCUACCUUUCCUUGUAAAACAUGGAAAUUUCACGUAAAAUUUCUUGUAUGCCUACUGGAAUUGUUUCAUGUAUCUUCUGCCGGAAGCUUACUCAAAAUAAUCACUUGCCUAUUGUGAUUUCUGUCGAAUUGCUUUAAACUGCUAUGUUGAUACUACGUUUCUGAUGAAAAAGGGAAAAAUUAUGUCAAAGCUGACUUUAUUUUUUUCCCGAACUGUUGCAUGAGGGUGUCUCGUGCUUCAUUGAGUUGCUUUAGAUUCCCAAAAAUGUACUAAUUCAGGUGUUAAAUUGUUGUGAUAUGUUCUGUGAUGCAGUCACGCUCUUUGUAUGUUAAGAACCUGAACUUCAGAUCAUCUGAUGAGAAUUUGAAAACGCAUUUCGCGGAGCACAUGAAUGGAGGGAAUAUACUAAGUGUCAGGGUAUUCUUUCUUGUCUCUAUCUGCUUCAGAUCAUAACUACUAAUUGCCUUCUCUAUAUGCUUGAUUUUACGAGUUUCAUUUCUAUAUGCUACUGUAGGUGAAGAAGCAUAUGAAGAACGGAAAAAAUGUUUCGAUGGGGUUUGGUUUCAUAGAGUUUGAUUCUAUUGAUACAGCAGUGAAAGUUUGCAGGGACCUGCAGGGAACUGUAUUGGAUGGGCAUGCCCUCAUAUUACAACUCUGUCAUGCUAAAAAGGAUGCAGUAUUGCCUAAAAAAGUUGGAAAUGACAAGAGUUCUACAAAGUUGAUUGUAAGGAAUGUAGCUUUUGAGGCCACAGAAAAGGAUCUCAGACUACUAUUCAGUCCAUUCGGACAGGUAUAAUCUCCUUUCCCUCUCGUCGUCAUAUGAUAAAAUGAUUUUAAUUGUUUUGAAUUAUAAGGUUUUGAGUUGUGCUGUAUUGUUGCAGAUAAAGAGAUUAAGGUUGCCAAUGAGGAUUGGGAAACAUAGGGGUUUUGCAUUUAUAGAGUAUAUGACGAAACAGGAAGCUAGGAAUGCACUUGAAGCUCUUUCCAACACCCAUCUCUACGGUCGUCACUUGGUACAUUUUUUAAAGUGGAGACAAAAAAAAUGAAAUGUUUUGCGAAUAAGUUGAGUUGAAUACUUACUGCUGAUUGGUUUGCAGGUUCUUGAGAGAGCCAAGGAAGGUGAAACUUUAGAGGAAUUACGGGUUAGAACGGCUGCUCAGUUCACGGACUCCACUAACUUAUCCAAAAAAAGAAAGCAGUUGCCCGUAUUUGAUGAAGGAAAUAACGAGUUUGAAAGAAUGGUAGAUUAGAAUUUUGGGUUGUCUUUGUUGUCAACUACUUGUAUUACUGAAAUAUUUUACAAAUUUUGAAUUGUAAAAAAAAGGGACUUGUGAAAACG